GAUGAACGCUGGCGGCGUGCCUAAUACAUGCAAGUCGAGCGAACAGAGGGGGAGUUUGCUCCUCUGAAGUUAGCGGCGGGCGGGUGAGUCACACGUGGAUAACCUAUCUUUGAGGCUGGGAUCACUUCGGGAAACCGGAGAUAACACCGGAUAAGAUGUUGAACCGUAUGGUUCAAUUGACAAAGACGGUUUUGAUGUUACUAAUUGGUGGUUCCGCGUCGCAUUAGCUAGUUGGUAAGGCGGCGGCUUACCAAGGCGACGAUCAGUAGCCGACCUGAGAGGGUGAUCGGCCACACUGGAACUGAGACACGGUCCAGACUCCUACGGGAGGAAGCAGUGGGGAAUCUUCGGCAAUGGGCGAAAGCUUGACGGAGCAACGCCGCGUGAGUGAUGAAGGUCUUCGGAUCGUAAAACUCUUUUAUUAGGGAGGAAGAGAUGUAUAAUAAACUAUUCACGUCUUGACGUUACCUAAUCAGAAAGCCACGGCUAACUACGUG
rnacentral:rRNA from 1 species